AAAUAAAUUAUCUUUAUUGAUUUAUUCAUUUCAUUUAGUUGUGGCAUCUGCAGCAUUGACCGUCCCAAUUGUUUUAACUGCUUCAUCCGCCACUUCUGCUGUUUCAUCGGCAUCAUUAGUCUCU